rnacentral:rRNA from 1 species
AUAGCGUAUAUUAAAGUUGUUGUGGUUAAAAAGCUCGUAGUUGAACCUUGGGCCUGGCUGGCCGGUCCGCCUCACCGCGUGUACUGGUCCGGCCGGGUCUUUCCCUCUGUGGAACCCCAUGCCCUUCACUGGGUGUGGCGGGGAAACAGGACUUUUACUUUGAAAAAAUUAGAGUGCUCCAGGCAGGCCUUUGCUCGAAUACAUUAGCAUGGAAUAAUAAAAUAGGACGUGCGGUUCUAUUUUGUUGGUUUCUAGGACCGCCGUAAUGAUUAAUAGGGACAGUCGGGGGCAUCAGUAUUCAAUUGUCAGAGGUGAAAUUCUUGGAUUUAUUGAAGACUAACUACUG